AUGGUUUCGAUUGUGUGGACCAUAGUGGGUCUGGCCAUUGGAGCCAGGACAAGACCCGAAUGCUUCUCGCAAUAUUUCUGGUGGAUCUCCCAAUUCAUCCCGGCACGUAGAAGUUUUCAAAUCACCGGUCUCGUUGCAACAUAUUGGGCGAUUUGGAAGCUUUGCAAACAGGUCAUGCCUUGAAGGAAACUCAUUCGGUUGCCGGUUGAACUGAUCUUCUAUGCUUGUGCAUUUGUCAAAUACUGGGCAGGGCUCCAUUCUAGAGAUGACAUGGAUGCAUUGAUGACUGGAAGAAUUGCUCUUCAGGAGGUGGCUGUGAAUGUUCAUGGUGCUACUACUCGUCCUUCCGAUGGCAUACUAAGGACAAUCGAAGAUAUUCGUGCUCAGGCGAAUGAAGAUAGUGGUGCAAGGUUCUGA
rnacentral:rRNA from 1 species